GAUCAUUACCGAGUUUACAACUCCCAAACCCCUGUGAACAUACCUAUAAUUUGCCUCGGCGGAAUCAACGACGGUGCUCCGAGAAAUCGGGCGCCGCUCGCUGCCAGAGGAACCCCAAACUCUAUGUAUUCUUGUGGAUCUUCUGAGUAAAACAAAACAAAUAAAUCAAAACUUUCAACAACGGAUCUCUUGGUUCUGGCAUCGAUGAAGAACGCAGCGAAAUGCGAUAAGUAAUGUGAAUUGCAGAAUUCAGUGAAUCAUCGAAUCUUUGAACGCACAUUGCGCCCGCCAGUAUUCUGGCGGGCAUGCCUGUUCGAGCGUCAUUUCAACCCUCAAGCCCCCGGGCUUGGUGUUGGGGAUCGGCGAUAGUCGCCGUCCCCCAAAUCUAGUGGCGGUCUCGCUGUAGCCUCCAUGGCGUAGUAGUAAACACCUCGCAACGGGAACGCGGCGGGGCCAACCCGUUAAACCCCAACUUCUGAAAGUUGACCUCGGAUCAGGUAGGAAUAACCGC
rnacentral:rRNA from 1 species